GACGAAGGGGGCUAGCGUUGUUCGGAAUUACUGGGCGUAAAGCGCGUGUAGGCUGCUCCGCAAGUCGGAUGUGAAAGCCCUGGGCUCAACCUAGGAAGUGCAUUCGAUACUGCAGAGCUUGAGUCCUGGAGAGGAAGGCGGAAUUCUCGGUGUAGAGGUGAAAUUCGUAGAUAUCGAGAGGAACACCGGUGGCGAAGGCGGCCUUCUGGACAGUGACUGACGCUGAGACGCGAAAGCGUGGGGAGCAAACAGG
rnacentral:rRNA from 1 species